ensembl:lncRNA
UUGUGAUGACAUGGUCGCAGGGAGCAGGCGAGAAUAUGAGCUGUCCCAGUAUGCAUGCAGCCUGUGGAUUGUACAUGCUUGGACUAAAUGGACCAUUUAGAGAGAUGGUCCAUAGGUUACAGAGCAUGAGCACCCUGUCGACAACUAAGAAAGUCUCCUACUGCAUAUGUGUACUACCAAAGAUGAUGCUUAACAUAGAGAAGAACAUGCAUCAGUAAGUGUAGAAAAGUCACAACUGAGUAAAAUAUUCUGCAUUGACUGAGUUAAGAGAUUACACUAAACCAAGCAAGUUUAGGGAUAUGGCAGAUGUCUUCACUUUUGUUUCCUUUCAUUGCUGAUGAGGAUUACCUUAUGAUUUAACCAACAUCCCGAUUACAAGGACUGAGUUUGGAAGAACAAUGAUGCUUCAGAUAAAAUGUCUUAUCCUCUUUGCAGAAACAGGAAGCUAUGGCAGUGAUGGAAGUGCAAACAUCAGAGGAUCCCAAGAGUACAGCAGUGACUUGAGAGAGCUGAAUGUUAGAACAGUGGAUAUUCAUUGAAGAAGUCAUGGAAGAGUCAUUCCCUGGAAGGGACAGGUAACUCCCUGGAAAGACAUGAAAAAAAUCACUACCAUUAGCCUGAUAGAGGUAGGAGAAAAAUACCGAAAUGUAAAUGUUGGAAAUGUCUAUUUUAAUACAGGUUUGCUUUGGCAAGAGUGAACCUAGGAAGGAAAGCAAGCAAUGAACAUAAUGUCCAAAAUAUUUAUGGUUAUCUUUGUUCAUGGUUUUAUGUGGCAAAACACUCAGUCUGGUUUUCUGAUUGCUAUCUCCAGCUUAUUUUCCUGUGGUGCCAUCCAAAGACAUUUCAACACUAAAAUUUUAAUCAACCUCUGUUUUUCACUGGAAAAUUUAAAUAAAAUAAUUCAUUUGAACAUUUUAGUAGUUGUUAUUGCUCUAUCAUAGUCUACUUAAGCAUUUCAACUUGUCAAAGAAUGAUGGGUUGUUAUGGGUAUUUUAAUGAAAGACCAUAUUAAAAAUACCAAAGUAAUGUAAAACAUAUUGUAAAUGAGUUCAAAAUUAAAGGCACUUCAUGUCCUUUAUUGAACUCCUACAGUUUUGCUUGUAUUCACACUAAUGGCUGACGGUUUGUGAUGGGAAUGUGAAAAUCAAGCUGUAUUAGUAUUCUCAAAUACUGGAGAUUUACUAUUUCCCUUUUCACCGGACUGCAACAUUGAUUUUUACAUACAUAUGCUUACGUGUAUGCAUAUGUAAAUAUUUAUUAAACUUACAUGCACAUAGCUUAAACGUAUUACAUAUAAAUAUGCAUAUUUGUACUUAUGUCUAUAUAAAUUGAAGGCAAGGACAUCACAGCAAAUUGUAGAUUGCACAUAAACAUUGCAGAUCAUUUCACAUGAACUUCUUGGGCCACCUUCAAUAUAGUUCAAUUGGAAAGAUUUACAAGGGACAAAUACCGUGGGCUACUUUUAAAUCAGCCUAAGACUACCUGUUGCAUGCUCUUCUGUUAAUUUAUCUUCCCAUGUUUAUGCCCACAGCUAAAGAAGGUAGGUCAGCGAAGAAAGAAACUGCUUUUGUGUAAAAGUGUAGAACUAUGCGUGAUUAGACAGAAUUUUCUGUAGGAAAUUCAGGUAUAUGCUUAUCUACUGAAUCCUGAGAUGAAGACUGGGGGAAUAAAGUGUAUAGUAAACUAAUAAAACAAUUUCUUCUGUAGCAGAAGAGACAAAGAUAUCGUUAUUAAUUUGUUCCGAGACAGUGUCUAGGAUGGCUUUUUGGAUUAUUUUCACUCAUAACAAAUGUAACUUCAAACUUUAAGAAAAAGAUAGCUAAGUAGGACUACUCUUUUAAAAAUGUCUUAGACUAAUUUAAGUUGCAUCCAUAUAUGACAGAUAAAAUGGAGUACUUCAUCAAGCUUAUAUUCAAAUAUGUAGUAGUAAUGGUCAGUAACCUAAUAUUUGGGAGGAAUUUUGUUUCCCUUUCAUCUGUGCAUUCCUAAUGAAGGUGUUCUAGAGCAUAUGUAGACAUGGAAAGGUAAUGGGGAAGAGGAGUCUGAGGUAGAGGCCCAGACAUCUCUUUAAGAAAACAAAAAUAGCUUCCUUUUGGAGAUUUACUUUGAGGUCUCUGGAUAUAAGAAAAUCUGUAUGAAAAUCCUUGUCUGGGUUAAUUCUGAGGAGUGUUGCAAAUUAUUAACUGUACAGUUAAAGCAACAUCUUAUCCAGUAGUAAAGGUGCGGCCAAUGUAGCCUAGAUACCACUUUAUUAAGCAUCUGUAUAUGCUUUGUAAGUAACAUCAUUGGAUGAACUCUUUCUUUCUAAGAGUUUAUUAUUAUUCUUUUUAGUUGAGUGGUCUUCCCAGUUUUUUAUUUUAUUUUUAAAUUUAUUAAAAUGAAACUGAAAGCAUAAAAACAAAAAUACACCAACACUGAUAUUCAGUAUUAAUAAUUAGUAAUGUCCAAGCUAUAAGCUCGUUAAUAUAUAUGUCUUUAGAACAUGAUUAGCAAUGUGAAAUUUACUCUGUUGCUAUAUACCACUGUAGGCACUGCCUGUGAAAGUGCCACUGACUGAAGUCACUGUACGAAAGAGAUAGGCACAGGAAGGAGAAUGUGUCCUCACAGAUUAGGUUUCCUUUUCUAUCAACUGUAAACAACCCAUAGGUAUCUCCAGAACACUUAUGGAGCACCUCUGGGGUUAAACAUCUGGUCUUUCUACCUUAAAGAUAAUGAGUAUAUAGAUAAAUACCAGCAAUCUUAAUCUAACAAAGAGCUCAGGGGACAUGCUGGCUACUGUGCAUAGGGCCUUAAUGAAGUGGACCCUCUGGAAUGGAUUCACUGGAGUGGGACUUGUUAAUCAAUAGUGUCGUUCUUCCUAGACCAUUCCCUCCAAGAAGUAUGGCACUUCAUUUGGGGCAGCUGCUGCUGCGCCACUCAAAGAUAGACUGAUGCACUCUGGGAGAUCAUAAGCCAUAGGAUGUGAGGGAGAGCAAGACAUGAAGGAGUUCACUUCAUACCUGAUGUUUGUUGCAGUCAACUCACAGGAAUAAAAGUAAGCUUCCAGUGCUGUUUGUCUGAAAUAUGCACUCCCUUCCCUGCAAUAAUCUCUAAGACAGAAACUAUGUCAACAGAGACAAGAAUUCUCAUUCUUUCUAUUAUGCUUUCAGCCCUAAGCAGUCAGUAAGGUCUGAGCUGCCCAAGUUCUGUACAGUAUCAUCCAUAAUUCAUAGAUUUCUGGCUUUCCAUUAGCUCAGCAUCAGAAAUUGAAGAGUCUGAGCGUUGCAAGGUGAUUAAGGACUUUUUUUUCUGAUAUGUUGCUUCUUUCUAAGGCUGAAUAUAGGUUUAUUUUCUGUACAAGUGCUCUUGCUAAUAGGUUAUCAUGAAAGAGGUUGUCACUAAAACAUACGAGUUCUUGUUGCAUGUAACUUAUCUUUUCCAGGAUCCAUAAAUUCUACAGCAAAAUAAAACUCAAAGUUUGAGGAAGAAGGAGCUUUUCUCUUCUGAACAAACACUUGAGUGUGUGUGACUAGGUAAUUUAAACCUGUACAGAAUUAAGACUUAAGUUGAGAACAGCUAAAAGAAUAUGGAUAUCUAUUUAGAACCCCUGAAGAAAAGGAGGAAUAGAUCUCUAACUAUAACUGUGUUUCAAAUGCUUUAUUUCUCAUCUGGUUUUAUGAAGACUAUUUCCACAGGGUAAUUUUGUAUCUUUCCAUUAUGAGAUAACUGUUUUUUGUAUUAAAGGGAAAUACGGAACAUAUCCCAUCUAUCUUGGCAUUAGUGAAGCCGUUAAUUUAGUACAAAGUUGAAAUUUUAAAGUUAAAAUGAGGAAGAUUGGGUUUUUAGUAAACAGUGAUAAAGUUGGAAAAGAAGUAGCUGAAAGAGAGGAAUUGGCUUUUUAAAAAGAAAAAAAGGAAAGAGAUUUGUAGUGAAAUUCUUAAAGGUCAGAUCUUAAGAAAGGAUUCAUAUAGUGUAUAGCAGAAAUUAAACUGAAUGGUAUAAUGGUAAGAUCAUUUGUUUUAGCACAGAACCUUAGGUGCAGAAGGCUUGAAAUCAAUUAUGGGACUAUGAGGGUUCAAAAAUGAGGUGUAGCUACUAGAAAAUGAGAGUAGUUUCUGAAUACAUCAGAAAACAUAUGUUUGUGUGCAGGGGAACUGUGGUGCACUGAUGAUUUGUCAUCUACAUUACUAAAUAUAGGUCAGUUCACCCAUAAUCAAGCUAAAAAAUUCAUGAAGAAACUCUAUUAGAAUAAUAUAGGGAAGGAUGCAUGCUUUAUAAAGCAGGGACACCAAAAGAGUUUGGCUUAUUUAAUAAAAUGAAGGAAUAAAAGACAGAAUUGUUCUUUCAGCACUGGUAGAAGUACAAGAGAUGUUCAAACCAACGUACAGUUCUGUGAUGUCUAUAAGUGGGUGUUAAAGUGAACAAUAAUGUAUUUAAAUAAACAAGCAGAAGAGACUUGUUAACAAUGAUAGGAAAGAAGUUUUGGAGCAGUAGACCAUAAAGAGAGGAAAGCAAAAGCAAAUGUAAAGUUUGGUAAUGUAGUGGAAUUUCAAGGUAACAGCCUGAACCAAUGGGUGGGCUAUGUGAGUGUGAGGGUGCCUGGAGCCGGGGGGUGGGAGGGUUUGGAGCCACCCCUUCUGUCUCUGCAAUACUUCCUGUGCAAUCUGAGUCUGCGCAGGUCCCGCUUUUCCCCAGCCCUUCUCUCUGGUGGUGCGACGGUCUGAAAGGAGGAGGGUCACAUUCCUCAGCUCAUCCCUUUCUCCAAACUUACUGGGAGGAGUGAGUUAAUUCCUUUUUGAUAUCUUUUCCUAUAGCGCCUAUUUCUCAAAUAAAGGCUCUGUCAUUGCCUUUGUUUGCUCUACAAGUAAAUAGCCAAUAAAAGGAACAGGCAAAGGCAGAACAUGGAAGUUUAUGAAAUCUUUCAAAUAACGUGGUCAUCUCUAGUAGAAGGGGAUGACCCAGGAAGUUCUGUGUUCAUGAGAGAAAUAGGAGAUAUCAGUGGUGGAUAUCAAAGAAAUAUUUAAGAAAGCCUGAUCACUUGUCUACCAUUUUUCUCCCUAAUACCAGUUUCAUGAACAGAUGAGCUGCAACACUAUUUUUCAGGUGAUACCUGAUAAUCAAUUCUGAUCACCGUGGCACUUUGCUAAUACCACUGCUGUUGCUGUUAAAAGGUUUCUCUUCUCUUUGCUGGACUGUGUAAUCUACUUGUUCACAUAAGUUUCCUUGAAACAUUAACAGCUGUUGCAAACUACCCAAAGCACAACGUAUAGCUAUCUACUGCCUGAGUAUAUCCAAGUAUUUAUGAGUUCGCAUAAUUGCACUGGAAUUUAUUUCUCUUCAGGAACUUGAGAACUUACAGAGCUAUUAAAGAUUUAAUACAGCCGGAAAUAUUGUUAUUGCUUUCUACAGGAGUAAGUGUAUGCAUUUUGUUAUUUGCCUUUUUUUCUUAUAACAAGUAUGUAAAUGAGAAAUAAAUACUGAAAGCUGCACAGCACUAUAUCUCCCACACAAAGGGAAGUCAUUUUAAAAAUAGCUUAUGCUUUGAACAGGAAAAUGGAAAAACACACAGAGUAACAAGGCACUAUGGCUAUUCAGCUUUCUGAUAAAAAGAAAUCCAUCAACGGUUUGCCUUUAACAGUUUGGCUGCACUCUUUUGUAGUAAAAGAUAAAAAUAUCAGUUGUGUUCCAGAGAUUUAGUGGGGGGAAAAAAAAAAAAGUGACUUUACUCUUAUUGUUACAUAGGAAUAUGUUAGGAAAGCUUAUAGCAGGCAGUAACAAUUCAUGUACUGAAAGUCUAAGUUAUUGAUAACCUGAAGAUUUCACCAACUGAAGUUCAAAUAUAUUUUCAGUAACUCAGUGAUAUCUUUGAGUUUGCUUAGACUGUACUUUGGAAGAUUUCAAUAAGUGAGAUUUAAUGUCAGUUUAACAAUGUGCUUAGCACAUGUUGAAUACAUAUACUGAGUAGAUGAACAAAAGGAAUAUUUGUUAUAUAGCAUUAGAAUUUAAAGGAGACCAAACAAAAACAAAGUCUUGAAUAGAAUGGAAAUGGAAGGAAGAAAGAAAUGUAUGUCCUUGACAACAGUUUAUAAGCAGAGGUAUGUAUUUUGUACUUAUUACUCUUUGUUACAGACCACUGGAGUUGGGAAAUAGAUAAUUGUUUACUACAAAAUAACUGCUAAUGUAAUCUGGACUUUCUUAAUGAAAAACACAUUAUACCUCUGACUCUUCAAACUCAGCAAAUUUAUUUAAAGAUUGACUAAUACUGAUUAUUGAGAGCUGCAGAGAAUUCAAAACCAUAUGAGAUCCUUGCUUUAAAGAUUGAUGUUAGAAGAUUUAAAGGUAACAAUCUUGGGGAAUAAAGAAGAAACUUAAUGUUUGCUUUCUUGAUGUUAUUUCACUGUCAAGUUGUAUCUUCAUAAGUAAGCUAGAGAAAUAUAUCUUAAUGAAAGUACUGCAAAGUAUGAGUUUGCUAGGUAAACACAAUUUUCAGAAAGCAACUUAUUUGUUCAUUAUCAGAAAAGAAGGAAGACAGACUAAUAUUUCAAAUGAAAAUUAAUAACUAUUAUUACUUAAUAAGAAACAUUUCAUUGUCCUUGCAGGUGGUAUACUGCUAAAACCACUAGGAGAAUGUGGAAGAAUAAAGAAGAAAGGAUAUAAUUUGAAGAUAAUAAUAAUAAUAAUAAAAAGUUAUAAUAAACUGGAAGAAUGAUGCCUAAAAUAAUCAAUUAAGAAAUAGCCAGAAGUUCGGCGUCCCUCAGGGGCCUGUACUGGGACUGAUGCUACUUAAUACCUACGUCAAUUACGUAGACAGUGGGAUGGAGUGCACCCUCAGCAAGUUUGUGAAUGACACCAAGCUAUGCGGUACAUUUGACAUGCCUGAGGUAUGGGAUACCAUCCAGAGAGACCUAGACAGGUUUGAGCAGUGGGCCUAGGGGAACCCCAUGAGGUUCAACAAAACCAAGUGCAAGGUCUUGCACCUGGGUCGUGGCAACCCCCGCUAUCAAUACAAUUUGGAGGAUUUAAGGAUAGAGCACAGCCCUGCUGAAAAGGACUUACUGGUAGACAACAAGUUGGGCAUGAGCCAGCAGUGUGCCCUCACAGCCCAGAAAGCCAAUCAUAUCCUGGGCUGCAUCAAAAGAAGCAUCACCAGAAGGUCAAGGGAGGUGAUCCUGCUCCUCUACACUGUGCUGGUGAGACCUCACCUGGAGUACUGUGUCCAGAUGUGGAGUCUCUCAGUACAGGAGAUACACAGACCUGUUGGAGUGUGUUCAGAGGAGAGCUACAAAAAUGAUCCAAGGGAUGAAACACUUCCCCUGUGAGGACAGGAUGAGAGAGCUGCGGCUGUUCAGCCUGGAGAAGAGAUGGCUCCAGAAAGACCUGAUUGUGGCUUUUCAAUAUUUAAAGAGGGUUGUAGAAAAGGAGGGGACAGACUUUCAGCAUGGUCUUUUGUGAUAGGAUAAGGGAAAUGGUUUCAAACUAAAGAGGAAGAUUUAGAUUAGAUAUAAGGAAAAAGGUUAUUGCAAUAAGGUUGUAAUACCCCAACCUGCAGUUGGUUGCCUGGAGAGGUGGUGGAUGCCUCCUCCCUGGAGAUAUCCAAGGUCAGGCUGGUCAGGGCUCUGAGCGACCUAUCUAUCCGUCCCUGUUCAUUGCAGGGGAGUUGGACUCGAUUACCUUUAAAGGUCUUUUCUGACACAAACAGUUGAAUGAUUGUAUGAGUGAAAUGAACAGAUUCUUCUCAUAUGUAUGGUUCUCACUAUUUAGCACUUAACAUGAGUUAUGUUUAUUCAUUGAUUUAUUUACUGCUUCAUCGGAAUGAAUACAGAGCUAGGUGGUUACUUAGAUUGUUAGAGAGCUACCAGAGACAGCAUUGAAAAGUAAAACCAUCUCCUAAGCCUCCAUGUGUUUAUCAAAAUUGGUCAUAAAAAGACCAAGAAAGAAGUAGUUAGUAGUUAUAAGUAACAGUGAGGAAAAAUUAAAUUACCUGGUAAUUAUUUUUUAUUUUUAUGCAUUAGUUGACCCUCUGAAGACCUCAUAACUUAGAUAAUGCCUUGUGAUCUCAUUGUUUUAUUCUAAUCUAAUAAUAAUUAAACAGAAAGUUAUUUCCAACUCUAAGGAAAAAUUUCAGCUGUGGAUAAAAUGUUUCCAAACAGAAAAGAAUUUGGAAAGAGAGUGCAAACUCUCUUUUCUUUAUCAUCCUUAAAGGAAAAGGGAAAAUAAUGUAUUUUUAUUUUAUGAAUAGAGGAUCUUCCAUUUAGAAUGCUUGGUUUGUUCUUGAAAAAUGUCUGAAGGAAUAUUAAUGAGAGAAGAAAAAACAAAUACAAAAUAAAUAAAUACCUAUCCCCUUACUGAACAUGAAACCAUUAAAAAAAAAAAAAAAAAACUGUAACGGCCACAAUUCACAUUAUGAUGAUAUCCUGAAAUUGUGUGUGAGAUCUAAAAGAGACCAUAUAGAUUCAGUGCAGUUGAUCUUAGGGUAGUAAGUGGAGAUUUUGUAUCUCUCAGAAGGUAUGGUUAUCCUUAAAGCACUGCUUAAAGAGUUAGAGGUUUUUUUUCCUGUUGGAAACUCUUUGCAAUAUUUCAAAUGAAAUCUUUCUUUUAAACAUUACAGUCACCUAGAAAGAAAGGAUAGAACCAUUUUGUUUCAUGUUGGCCUAGUAGUCUGUGGAUUUAUGGGCGUGUUUAAACUCUGCUCUAGUGAGACAAUAUGUCACAAAUAUUGUAUUAUUUUGUUAUUUUCUGACCAUCAACCUGAUGCUUGCUACUAUCCAAUGCCCUUCAGCCUGUACUCUGUAUGCAGGUUGAAAUAAGCCUGUACUUAUUUUGUGACAUAUUCGAAAAGAAUAGUAAAACAUUUAUAAGAAAAUCUAGACAUUUGCUCUUACACAAAGAAAAAAUGUUAGUUUGGGUGAAAAGACACCACAGCAUUUUAGGAAUUCCUUUUGAAGAAACCAUAUUUUGGAGAACUUUUGUCUAUGACUGCAACAUAUUACUGCACAUACUGCAGCAAAGUGCAAGCUGUGUGUCUGCAGUUUAAUCAUCUUUAAAGUGAUGAAGAGCAGGAAUUUUAUUUUCAGAGGGGAAAGAUGAGAAACAAAUCUAUCAAAAUUUGUUCCGUGAAUUCAGAGCGCAUGGGGAUUUAUUUUCAAAACAGAAACUGGUUUGUUUCUGAGAAGCAAAUUCUAUUAUUGUUUAACAGGAUUUGGGGGCAGAAUUGUCAUAAACUGACUGAACACUUACUCUGCAGGAGUUUUUUUAGCUGAGGAAAAAGGUUGGCAAAACAAUUUGUUUCUGUGGAUUUUUUUAGUGAAUUCAGCACGUGCCCCAGAAAAGGGCAUUUAUCUCAUUUUGAAAGCCACUUUCAUAUUCUUUCCCUAACUUGCUUACUGUUAGCUAAAACACUAAAUUAGAAAGAGUUAUUUCAAGUCCAACCCAAGGCUUAAUUUUACUUUUGGGGAAGAAAGUUGGAUUCCUAAAAUCAGUGGGGAAAAAAGAAAGAACAGUAAUUUCUGCGGAGGAACAGCAAUAAAUACGUGCACACUUUUUUUUGCCUGUGUAUGAAGUGUAAGGCACAACAGAAUGAUUUAAACUUGCAUUCACCCAGAAUGAUUUUUUUUUUCCCCUUCUAUAUCGUACUCUUGUUCUGAAACCUCACAUCUUAUCCAGGGUUUAAUAUAUCUUAGGGUGCAUUAAUUUAAUAAUUUUAGAAUGCUUUCAAAACUCUAAGGCUUAUUAUUUUAUUACCAGGAGUUUGUAACUUAGGCAGAAUACUGAAUAAAUUUUGUCAACCUUUCGUGCUUACUUUCUGGAGAAAAGGGGAAAAGGAUUAUUGAGACCUAGGGAUGGUCCGUGCCUGAGAAAGGAACUCUGUAAUCAGGUGUGGGGCCAGGAAUUGGACUCUGAUCCUUCUGGGUCCCUUCCAAAUUGUCAUAUUCUAUGAUUCUGUGAUUCUGUGCUUAGCCCAUACGUGACUAUCUCACCUAGGCUGCUGCUUUGAUGUGAUGGAAACACUCCUUGCAUCUUUAGCAGAAGGGGCCUUCCUAAUACAAAACAGUUACAAAGAGAUAGAAAAUCCCAAAGGAGUUCUUAGAGAGCAGCACAGCUCACUGAAUUAUCUCUGUGUUUUCUAUUUUAAACGUUGUGUUUCUUUUUUAAUUAUACAUUGAACUUCUGGCUGUUCCUGGAUAAUUUUCAUCACAGAAGGUUUGGAAGCGUGCAAAAUUUAGGGAUGAGGAUUUUGAACUAUGUGUGGAAUGCUUCCUCUUUCAGUGUUUUUGAUCAAGAGCUCAACUUCUUUUUUUGUGUACAGUAUUUUACAAAAAACAAGUCAUUUGAUGCUGGGCACUCAAAUGGACAAAUACAGGCUGGCAAAAUACCUCAGAAAAAUGAAUGGGAUAUUUCACUGUCCCUCAGGCCUUUCAAUAUUCAUAUUCUUCACAGUAUUUUCAGUGCAAUUGUUAUUGCUUCGCUAAAGCAAACUGCCUUUCCCAUAGAAAUAGUUAUUCAUUUGGCUGUUCAUCAUUUCAGAACAGGGACUGUGUUCUUUCCAAAUGCACGUAAAAGCUUCUGAAAUAUAUGAGAGAAGUUCUAAUCUCAUCCACUUUCUAACCAGAAAGACUAUGUGGAUGGAAAGUUUUAGGAUGCAUUUUCAGCAGUUUUGAACAAAACUAACAGGGUUUGGCAGAGUUCCUUGCUUAUGAAUAGAGAAAGAUUUGCAGAACUAGGUAACUACUUAAACUUGGAAACACAGCAAGCACGGAAAACAAACCAGCAAACACAACCAACAAACAUUCCAAAGACAUUUGUUUUUUGGAAUAUGUUUGCUAAGUUUUGGAUGAGAAAUUUUUUAAUGGUCUUGUUACGUUGGUAACUGUGGUCAGACAGGUGACAAAUUUUCAGACAACACCUAUAGGUUUCUGAGAGGAGUUUGAUGAUGUGAUGGCCUUGUGGCCUCCCAAGGAACAACCUCGAACACUCCAUCAUCCUCCUGUCUUGAUUCUGAACACCUGUCCAACAUUAACACAUAUUCUUCGCAGAGAGAGAAUAAAGAAGAGAAAAAUAUAAACAUCUAAAUGAAGAAAUAAAUGAGUGGAUGUAUUAACUAAAUAAGGGAUUUAAUUGGAUUGCUUUUGUCCUGUGAGCUUAUAAUUAGCAGAUUUUUAUUUAUGGCAGAAAGACCUAUCCUUAGCAUAUAUGCAGAGCUAUAAGAUAGGUAGAGCUCAGGGCAUUUUUAAUAGAUUCUCACUUUAUAAUUUGCAGGAGACAAAAAUCUUUACGCCAGACUCUGCUCUCAGUUACAAGAGCACACUGGAAUGCACCUUUAAUGUGUCUUGUCAGUUUUAUUUUCCCUUAACCCUUGUAUUUGCACAUUUGGAAAGAUUUUAUGACAAAACGGUCCCUGGCAAUUUUGAGUGUGGUUAAAUAUUACUUUUUAUAAUAUAAAGUGGAAGCAUAAAAUAAUCCCUUAGAGGCUGCAAUCUAUUUCUUCUUAAGUGUUUCCUUGCUUAGCAUGGGGCCAGAAGUUUAUCACCAUUACUUUGCCUACAAAUGAACUGUAGACGUUUAGAGAAAUAUAUUUAAUAUAUUUUAAAUAGGUAAAGAAUGUAAUGAAAUUUAUUCUGCAACAAACAGUUCUUCCCUGAGAAAAAAAAAAAAAAAAAAAGAGAUGGUUUCCAUAUUUGUGUGUAAGAAAAGGAAUUUGUUUGUGAUCUGUUAACCUUGCCAUCUUGUCUUUAAAUAUUUGUUCUCAUCAAAUCCUUGUCAUGUCAUGAUGUCAAAGGAGGGAAAAUGUCUAGAGAAAAGCUUUCAUCUUCGAACAAGUAGGUGGAAGACUGUGAAAUGUCACCCUGACUUUGACUUUGUUUGUUUAUUGCUUAUUUCUGUUGAUUCUAGUGCAUUCAGCAGGAGAUCUGUUAGAACUCACAACCCCUUAGCUACCAGUAAUAGCUUUGGAUAAGGCAUCGAAUACUGCAGCUGACCUAGAAUCUUGCUUCUCUUAACAAAAAUGUUAAAAUGUCUCUAUCCAAAUGUGCUUUAUUCUGCCUCUUAUUUUGGCACUGUGCUUCUCUUAAGCCUAAUUAUCUCUAUAUAAUUUUGAAAGCAUUGAAGUGACAAUUUUAUGCCAUUUUCUAUUUUGGACACUGAUAAACUAUGAGAAAAAAAUUUAAAAAAAAGAAAAAAGAAAAAAAAAAAAAGAAGAAUAGAUGAAUUAGGUCAGGCUGACCUAAUCUUUUAACUCUAAUGUCAUCUACAGUGCAGCUCAGACUGUAGUUCCAAUUGUGUUUCUUGAUAAUAUGAUGUCAUUUAGAAGUGUAUGAGAAAGGUUUUACCACUGACUAUUAAGUUGUCUGUAUUGAAGACAAAAGCACAUGUUUAAAACACCGCCAGAGGUAAACUGCAGGGAGAAUAAAGUGCAAAAACCUGUUGCUUUGAUAUUGUUACAUUAUCUAGACCAUGGUAAUGGAAAGAGGAUUAGCUGGGAAGGUAAUCUGAGUUACUGGAGGAACCAAGUCUCAAUACCAGCCUGAUGACACUCCUUUGGAAGAUGCUUUAAAGACAAACUAAAAUCCAUCCAUAAGCAGAGAAUCAAAUUUAUAAUUCUUAGUGUGCUUUAUUGAUAUUGCUGAGACUGAAAUGAUGUAUUUAGCUAUUUAAAUCUCUUAUUUCAAUGAUGAGAAUACUCUUCUGUCUAGAUAAUUUAAAGAAAUCAAUUUUCCUUAAAAUUAUGUUUUUGUUCAUAAUACAAUGUAUCUUCUGUACUGGAAAAAAUCGUGAGAAAUUUUAAGGCAGUUUUCAGAGAAAGACAAGAAAAAUAAACAAAAAAAGUGCUUGAGGUCAAGUGCAAAGAAGUUGUCAGUGGAUAGACUUCUUCUUAAUCUGAUAGUAUCUGGAACAGAAACAAGAUUGCAACAGUUAGGUUUCAGAAGGGAAAGUGUCACGACUGUUUGGCGAAUUCCAGUAAUUGCUUGUUUAAUUUGCUAUUAUUCACUUGACAUUUCAUGCAUCUGAUUUCCCAAUAUCUAAAAUCCAUAUAAUAAAUCCUCACUGUUGUGAAGUGUAUCAAAAACUAAAUAUAAACAGGUUAUCCACUCCCUUUGUGUUACGAGAGCUCAUUUUCCCUGUAGGUUUGCCUUCAUAUAUAGUAUUACUAGAAUCAGGCCCCUGCAUGGAACAUUUGGUUGCUACUUCAUAUGCUAAGUAAAUGUUCUGAGCUGUUUGUUUAGGAGAAACUGUGACCAGUUGUUUUAGGCCAUCAAGCCGCUUAAUUUGACUAGAAAUUUCAAUAACUGUUUCAUUGGAAAUCUGAUAGAAAGAAUUGUAUCAAAAUCUAUGAGUCUAAUUUAGGUUUUGCUAUGCUCUGAUUUGAUGUGGAAUGCUUUUGUGUGUAGAAAACAGAUAAGCUUCAUUUUAAGACGACCUUAAGGAAGGUUAUGCUAUGCUCUAGAAAUAUAAUUAGAUUUAUUUAGCUUAAUGUAUUUUCUAGUUUUGAUUUCUACAAAUAACUGAUAAACUGAAUAGGCACAAGGUGUUUUUAUUCUGAAAUGAACUGUAGCCAUCUAGUUUUUCCAAAGGCUGCUAUUGCACUUAACAUUCACGUUCUUAUCUUACCCCAAACCAUCAUUAAAUGAAAGAAAAUACUUUAUUUUGGUGUACUUGCCAUUGUCUUGAAAUUAGUUUAAAAUGGACAAAUUAAACUUCAUUUGAAUGUUAGAUAAAGGAUUUUGCUGACUCCUAUGUUUGAUGGUUGGGUUUCCCCAGGCCCAGUGACUAAUGGACACAAUGUCAAAGAAGCAGAAGCCCCUGAAGUACCAGUGAGCUUUUAAUGUUCAUUCAUAAUGGCACUGAUUGGCACAAAGGGAAAAUUAAUAAAACUAGUGUAUAGUCAAGGGAAACCACAUCUAAUAUUUUCUAAUGUUCCUGCCUUUACUCAUUAAACCUCUCUCUGACCCUUAAGAGGCUCACACCACCUCUGAUGCAAGAGCUUUUUUCUGUGUAAUGCUUACAAUCUGAGAGAGCCUUGCUAUAUUUCUCUGCCUCAUCGACAAUUUCUCUUUUUAAAAAUUGUCAUGGAAAAAAGGUGAACAUUUUCCCCCUAAGCAGAUUCAUUCCUCUCUCAUGCCCCUUUCUCGUCUCUGUAGAUAAAAACUGCUACAUUAAAUAAAAAUAUACUGUAAGCAAAGCAUAGUAAACAAAUGCAAUUCAGGGUAAAACUGAAUGCCCACUAAUCAUUUUUCUCUGCUUAUUUUUCUUUGACAG